rnacentral:lncRNA from 1 species
AUAGAAUGUAAAAACAAAAUAGAAAAUUAGCUUGCUGUUGUGCUUAGGAGUAACCACAGGGGUCCAGGAGUAACCACAGGGGUCCAGGAAUAGGUAAAUAAAAAGCAUUUUUUUUUCUGGGUUACCCAGCCAUAACUCCCUUCCCAUGCUGAGAGAAAAUUGAAGAACAAAGAGAGGCAGUGUCCUAUCCCAGGUAGUGUCAGCAAGGAUUGGAUCACAGUUACGUCAGCCUCCUCCUUGUAUUUUUGUUUUUGUUUUUGUUUGUAUUUUUGUUAUGUGUGUAGGUUUUUUAUUACUUUUUUUUUUUACUCUUUUCCAGCAUUUUAUAAAACCCUGCUUGGAACAUUCAAACCUCUUAUUGUGAUAAGUGUAUCCCAGGGCGUUUGCCUAAGACAAAACCUAGUACAAAGGAUUUACAGCUGGAUUACCACAUCGCUGGGGGCCUUGUGCGAUGGUGGUAGUGUGGAAAGCAAAUGUUACAGAAUCUCAAAGAUCCUUUUAACUUUUGGGGGAUUCAUCAUCUGCCCCAUAUCAUCCCCACACCAAGAUGUCAUCACUAUUUUUUCCUAGUUAGGUAGAGUCUGGGUUCAUACAGUGGUCUUUCAACUUAACCACAGAUCUGGCCAAUGGGA